UGAGAGAGGGAAAGAGGAGAGCUCUAGUCUCCUCUGGCUCUUCAGUUUCUUUAGACUUUGGAUAUUUCUGGUUUCCAGCUUUGAGAGAAAAGAUGAAUGAUGUCUACCCCACUUCCGGCUGCUGAAGGGAAAUACUCUGGGAAGAAGCCAGUAUGAGAGGAGCUAGCCAUCUCCAUCCCUAUGCCCAGUGUACUACAGUUAACUACCUCUUGGGGGCAGCUACAUGGUGCAGUAGAUGGAGAGUGCUCUACCUGGAGUCAAGAUGAUCUGAAUCCAAAUCUGGCCUCAAAUAUUUACUAGCUGUACAACCCUGGGAAAGUCUCUUAAUCUUGUUUAUCUCAGUUUCCUCACCUGUAAAAUGACUUAGAGAACAAAAUGGCAAAGUGCUCCAGUAUCUUUGCCAAGAAAACCUUAAUGGCGUCAUAAAGAAAUAAGCACAACUGAACAAAAAACUUUUACAAGGGCAUUGCAUAACACUAUUGACUCCUAUUAAACCUGUAGUCCACAAAAACCCCUAUUUAAUUUUCAAAAUAAAUGCUGUGUAGAUAUAACUUUACUCUGAAGG
rnacentral:lncRNA from 1 species